UGACUUAGCGAGCCACAAACAAGUGCGAAAGGCGAUAACUUGGAAACAUUGCUCCAAUCAUUCAAUCAACGUUUUGAAUGCUAUAUACGACAUCAGUACAGGAGGUCACCAAAGGCUCAUACGCAUAAGAAUUCUUUUGGAAGAUAAAGUGAAUUCUUAAUUCCAAACAGUUUUUAUGGCCAUGACAUUUUAAGUGACUAUCAGACUUAAUAAAUCAUUGCGAAAGACUUCUGGUGGUAUUCAGCUU